rnacentral:rRNA from 1 species
UAGUCCACGCCGUAAACGAUGGUCACUAGCUGUUCGAACUUCGGUUUGAGUGGCUAAGAGAAAUUGAUAAGUGACCCACCUGGGGAGUACGUUCGCAAGAAUGAAACUCAAAGGAAUUGACGGGGGCCCGCACAAGCGGUGGAGCAUGUGGUUUAAUUCGAUGAUACGCGAGGAACCUUACCAGGGCUUAAAUGUAGAUUGACAGGACUAGAGAUAGUUUUUCCUUCGGGCAAUUUACAAGGUGCUGCAUGGUUGUCGUCAGCUCGUGCCGUGAGGUGUCAGGUUAAGUCCUAUAACGAGCGCAACCCCUAUUACUAGUUGCCAGCACUUCGGGUGGGGACUCUAGUAAGACUGCCGGCGUAAGCCGCGAGGAAGGUGGGGACGACGUCAAAUCAUCAUGGCCUUUAUGCCUAGGGCGACACACGUGCUACAAUGGUAGGGACAGAGGGUAGCGAAUCAGUGAUGUGGAGCUAAUCUCAAAAACCCUAUCCCAGUUCGGA